rnacentral:sRNA from 1 species
GGAGGUAGAUACCUGGAGGUGCCACAUCCAAACUCCAGUUCUGUGUGCACUGGCUUUGGCCAGGGGGACAGCCAGGGGUUCCCAGCCAGGGGUUGUCUCCCCUCUGGCCAUUCUCAGGGCCAGCGUCUCACAGCACGCAGCCCCAGGCGACUGUGCCUGCUGCCACACCUGCCUGAUGGGAGGUUUCCUUCACGCUUACUUUGCGAUUGGGAUGGGUCAGAAUGUGUGUGCUGGGACAGGACGGUGGGUCUUGUCUCAAGCUCAGCAGAGGACACAGCAUGUGCCUAGAACAGAUGGCCACGUGGGAGGCCUCCAGGCUGCUGUUCUGCCCUACGUGAGGUCCCUGGGCCUGCACUCUCUGCACUGAUGAGGUGUGCCCAGCACCACCCUCUGGUGAGCUUCCAGGAGGCCCACAUGCUCUCAAUGCACAGGAAAACAGCAGCUACCUUUCCGUGUGCUUGCCUGGAGUCCCUGCCUAUUCAAAGGAGUGACAUCUUACACGGAGUUAGGCUUAGAGUUGGCACCAGAGAUGGAAUCACUGUGAAGCUAAUGAAGUUAAACUUCCAUGGUCCUUCACUCACUGACAGAGGCCUUACAAGGCCCUAACUUUGUAUGUAUCAUUUUCCAUUCUUUUUGGGACCUCCAAAACUGUAUAAAUUUCAGGUUUUAGAAAACCCGGGUCUGCCCCUGGUUGGCAUAUAAAGCAGAAUCACACAUGGUCCCUUUGCUCCUUGAAGAUCACUGAGGAACAGCACACAUUGGAGAGUAAAUGUGCCUUUCAGUGAGUUCUCUGCAGUUUGUCCACAGUGUUGAAAAAAGAUUACAGCUUUCCCAGCUGUGCACCUGAGGAAGUACAUAGGUGAUUUGCAUUUGGGGACCUUGCAAUAUGAGAAAUGCAUGUGUUUAAACAGUGGAUUCCAUUCAGCUCAGCCGGAGGCCGGCUCUGAGAUGCUCACUGUGAGAGACAGUUGGGCCUGAGAACCAUAGGGUGGGGUUGAGAGCAUGGCAGAUUCUUGUUUCCCAUCUCAUCUUCAGCCUCACGGUGCACUUACUGAGUGCAAGCAGAAAGAAAUAUCUGUACCAUUUAAAUUGCCUCUCCACUCCCUCACCUUUCUCUCUUUGCCAGCACACAUAGUUAACUGUGCAUAUGUUGUGUUGAUGCUGCUGUUCUUCUGUACUAUCUCAUUUCUUACUCAUAACAGCUCCCUGCAGAAGCAGCCCUUGUUUCUGAUAAGGACACCAAACCCCAAGGGAAUUCUGUAGCACGCCCCACUCUACAUAGGUUGAAAGACCCGGAAUGGCUGUUUGAUCCCAUCUCCAUGCUCUCUGGGACUGCCUCCUAGGGAUGCUCUAGAGGACAUCCUGGUCCACAUGCCUUCUGUCCUUGCCCUCCUUGCCCCUCCAGGCUCCACCGCUGAGGCUGCCCGCAUCAUCUACCCCCCAGAGGCCCAAACCAUCAUCGUCACCAAAGGCCAGAGUCUCAUUCUGGAGUGUGUGGCCAGUGGAAUCCCACCCCCACGGGUCACCUGGGCCAAGGAUGGGUCCAGUGUUGCCGGCUACAACAAGACGCGCUUCCUGCUGAGCAACCUCCUCAUCGACACCACCAGCGAGGAGGACUCAGGCACCUACCGCUGCAUGGCCGACAAUGGGGUUGGGCAGCCCGGGGCAGCGGUCAUCCUCUACAAUGUCCAGGUGUUCGAACCCCCUGAGGUCACCAUGGAGCUGUCCCAGCUGGUCAUCCCCUGGGGCCAGAGUGCCAAGCUUACCUGUGAGGUGCGUGGGAACCCCCCGCCCUCCGUGCUGUGGCUGAGGAAUGCCGUACCCCUCAUCUCCAGCCAGCGCCUCCGGCUCUCCCGCAGGGCCCUGCGCGUGCUCAGCAUGGGGCCUGAGGACGAAGGCGUCUACCAGUGCAUGGCCGAGAACGAGGUCGGGAGCGCCCAUGCCGUAGUCCAGCUGCGGACCUCCAGGCCAAGCAUAACCCCGAGGCUAUGGCAGGAUGCUGAGCUGGCUACUGGCACACCUCCUAUACCACCCUCCAAACCCGGCAACCCUGAGCAGAUGCUGAGGGGGCAACCGGCGCUCCCCAGACCCCCAACAUCAGUGUGGCCUGGUUCCCCACAGUGUCCAGGAGAGAAGGGGCAGGGGGCUCCCGCCGAGGCUCCCAUCAUCCUCAGCUCGCCCCGCACCUCCAAGACAGACUCAUAUGAACUGGUGUGGCGGCCUCGGCAUGAGGGCAGUGGCCGGGCACCAAUCCUCUACUAUGUGGUGAAACACCGCAAGCAGGUCACAAACUCCUCUGACGAUUGGACCAUCUCUGGCAUUCCAGCCAACCAGCACCGCCUGACCCUCACCAGACUCGACCCCGGGAGCUUGUAUGAAGUGGAGAUGGCGGCUUACAACUGUGCAGGCGAGGGCCAGACAGCCAUGGUCACCUUCCGAACUGGACGGCGGCCCAAACCCGAGAUCAUGGCCAGCAAGGAGCAGCAGAUCCAGAGGGAUGACCCUGGAGCCAGUCCCCAGAGCAGCAGCCAGCCAGACCACGGCCGUCUCUCCCCCCCAGAAGCUCCCGACAGGCCCACCAUCUCCAUGGCCUCCGAGACCUCGGUGUACGUGACCUGGAUUCCCCGUGGGAAUGGUGGGUUCCCGAUCCAGUCCUUCCGUGUGGAGUACAAGAAGCUAAAGAAAGUGGGAGACUGGAUUCUGGCCACCAGCGCCAUCCCCCCAUCGCGGCUGUCCGUGGAGAUCACAGGCCUAGAGAAAGGCACCUCCUACAAGUUUCGAGUCCGGGCUCUGAACAUGCUGGGGGAGAGCGAGCCCAGCGCCCCCUCUCGGCCCUACGUGGUGUCGGGCUACAGCGGCCGCAUGUACGAGAGGCCCGUGGCAGGUCCUUAUAUCACCUUCACGGAUGCGGUCAAUGAGACCACCAUCAUGCUCAAGUGGAUGUACAUCCCAGCAAGUAACAACAACACCCCAAUCCAUGGCUUUUAUAUUUAUUAUCGGCCCACAGACAGUGACAAUGAUAGUGACUACAAGAAGGAUAUGGUGGAAGGGGACAGGUACUGGCACUCCAUCAGCCACCUGCAGCCAGAGACGUCCUACGACAUUAAGAUGCAGUGCUUCAAUGAAGGAGGGGAGAGUGAGUUCAGCAACGUGAUGAUCUGUGAGACCAAAGCUCGGAAGUCUUCUGGCCAGCCUGGUCGACUGCCACCCCCAACUCUGGCCCCACCACAGCCGCCCCCUCCUGAAACCAUAGAGCGGCCGGUGGGCACUGGGGCCAUGGUGGCUCGCUCCAGUGACCUGCCCUAUCUGAUUGUCGGGGUCGUCCUGGGCUCCAUCGUUCUCAUCAUCGUCACCUUCAUCCCCUUCUGCUUGUGGAGGGCCUGGUCUAAGCAAAAAUAUACAACAGACCUGGGUUUUCCUCGAAGUGCCCUUCCACCCUCCUGCCCAUAUACUAUGGUGCCAUUGGGAGGACUCCCAGGCCACCAGGCCAGCGGACAGCCCUACCUCAGUGGCAUCAGUGGACGGGCCUGUGCUAAUGGGAUCCACAUGAAUAGGGGCUGCCCCGUGGCUUCAGUGGGCUACUCAGGCAUGAAGCCGCAGCAGCACUGUCCAGGCGAGCUUCAGCAGGUAGCGUAUUCUUGGGUGUGGGCGCAGGUAUGGGACACCCAGGAGGGUGUGGCUGGGCUGCCUUGGGGGGCCUCCUCCCUCCUAGGGUCUCAGCCUGGGCUGCUGGGCCAGGCUUUCUUCAGUCAGGAGCAGAUGCUCCUGUUGAUGAGUGAACACUGGAAAGUUACCUGGACUCCCUGGCGUGGCCGUCUCAUUACUCUUCCUUUUGAGCAGCAGAGUGACACCAGCAGCCUGCUGAGGCAGACCCAUCUUGGCAAUGGAUAUGACCCCCAAAGUCACCAGAUCACGAGGGGUCCCAAGUCUAGCCCGGACGAGGGCUCUUUCUUAUACACACUGCCCGACGACUCCACUCACCAGCUGCUGCAGCCCCAUCACGACUGCUGCCAACGCCAGGAGCAGCCUGCUGCUGUGGGCCAGUCAGGGGUGAGGAGAGCACCCGACAGUCCUGUCCUGGAAGCAAUGUGGGACCCUCCAUUUCACUCAGGGCCCCCAUGCUGCUUGGGCCUUGUACCAGUUGAAGAGGUGGACAGUCCCGACUCCUGCCAAGUGAGUGGAGGAGACUGGUGUCCCCAGCACCCCAUAGGGGCCUACGUAGGACAGGAACCUGGAAUGCAGCUCUCCCUGGGGCCACCGGUGCAUGUGUCUUUUGAAACACCACCUCCCACAAUUUAGGCAGAAGCCAAUAUCCCAGAAAGACUAUAUAUUGUUUUUUUUUUUUUAAAGAAGAAAAAAGAGACAGAGAAAAUUGGUAUUUAUUUUUCUAUUAUAGCCAUAUUUAUAUAUUUAUGCACUUGUAAAUAAAUGUAUAUGUUUUAUAAUUCUGGAGAGACAUAAGGAAUCCUACCCGUUGAGGUUGGAGAGGGAAAAUAAAGAAGCUGCCACCUAACAGGAGUCACCCAGGAAAGCACCGCGCAGGCUGGCGCGGGACAGACUCCUAACCUGGGGCCUCUGCAGCGGCAGGCGAGGCUGCAGGAGGCCCACAGAUAAGCUGGCAAGAGGAGGAUCCCAGGCACGUGGUUCAUCGUGACCCUAAGGGAAAGGCAAGGGUCACAGCAUCACAGCCUGGAGACACCCACACAAAUAGAUGGCUGGAUCCGGUGCUACGGGAAACAUUUUCCUAAGAUGCCCAUGAGAACAGCCCAAGAUGUGUACAGCACUAUGAGCAUUAAGAAACCUUCCAGAAUCAAUAAUCCGUGGCAACAUAGCUCUGUAAAAACAAACACUGUAACUUCUAAAUAAAUGUUUAGUCUUCCCUGUAA